rnacentral:lncRNA from 1 species
CUGCUGGGAGCUUAACCUACAUGGAACAGGCAUAAAAUAAUGUAAUGACAGAGUCUUGGUGACAGCAUUUUGUUGAAAGCAGAUAAGCUAGGGAAAACUUAAAUAAAUAUAUGAGGACAGAAGCAACAAACUGGAACCACACUAAGAGAAAGGAUAAAUUGGUUUGAUUUGUUGAGUGAGCACCACACGUUUUUUUAGCUAUUAGACACACACCAUCUAGAAUCUCCACCACCACCAUGGAAGGAGAUUCUCUUUUGAAAAUGAAGUAUUUCUAUUUGAAAUGAAGGCUAAGAGAAGAAGCUACGGAACUUGCCUAACAGUCACACAACGAGGCCGUAAUGAAUCUAUGAUUUGAAUCCAGCUAUUUGACGUCAAAGGCGUUUUAAGAGUAAUAACCAGUAUUCUUCACUGAGGAAAAAAAAUGAACAAAAAAUCCCCAUGUUCUUUACGUAAGACAUACCUGGCAAUAUAACAGAAAGUACAAAGAAGAAAGUUUCACUCGCGUUCGUGUGAAGAGACAACCAAACAGGCUUUGUGUGAGCGAUAAAGCUUUUUAAUCAGCUGGGUGCAGGCCGUCUGAGUCCGAAAAGAGAGUCAGCAAAGGGGAGAUAGGGGUGAGGCCGUUUUAUAAGAUUUGGGUAGGUAAAGGAAAAUUACAGUCAAAGGGGGGUUGUUCUCUGGCGGGCAGGAGUGGGGGUGACAAGGUGCUCCGUGGGGGAGCUUUUUGAGCCAGGAUGAGCCAGGAGGAGGAAUUUCACAAGGUAAUGUCAUCGGUUAAGGCAAGGACCGGCCAUUUUCACUUCUUUUGUAGUGGAAUGUCAUCAGUUAAGGCAGGAACAGGCCAUUUAAAUUUCACUUCCUCUGUGAUUCUUCAGUUACUUCAGGCCAUCUGGAUAUAUACGUGCAGGUCACACCAGCAGGCUAUCAGUAAAGUCCUCCUUACCGGUGGGAGGUGGAGUAGGGCUAGCCCCUGGCAUUCUGUAGGGAAGCAAGUGUUAAAACUUUCACUUAAGCCGGGCGUGGUGGCUCACGCCUGUAAUCCCAGCACUUUGGGAGGUCAAGGCGGGCGGAUCACCUGAGGUCGGGAGUUCGAGACCAGCCCGGCCAACAUGGUGAAACCCCCGUCUCUACUAAAAAUACAGAAUUAGCCGGGCGUGGUGGCGCAUGCCUGUAAUCCCAGCUACUCGGAAGGCUGAGGCAGGAGAAUCGCUUGAAUCCGGGAGGCAGAGCUUGCAGUGAGCCGAGAUCGAGCCAUUGCACUCCAGCCUGGGCAACAAGAGCAAAACUCCGUUUCAAAAAAAAAAAAAAAAAAGUUUCACUUACAGCACAAAAGGACAGAGUAGGAGGAGGAGGAAGCAACUGGCAGGUGCAGUUUCUCAGGCAUUUGAGAGGUUGGAGAAGUCAUUAUGAGAGUAAUGAAACUGGCUGGUUCCUGAUGAGUACAAUCUAUGCUUUGCAGUAAGACGGUAAACAUCAUCAUUAAUUUAGGCAAAGUGUGAAAGCAGGGCUCCCCCUUUGCAGCAUACAGAGGGGCUCUCAUUUCCUGCAGCAGGGGGGCAGGAAAAGAUGAGAAUUAGACUAAGGAUUUAAAUAUAAGGGUAGUGGGGCCCCCGAGAAGAACCUGGCAAAUCUGCUCUGCCAACAUCAUGGCUGAGUUUGGAAAGGAUUGGUGACCUCAGAUUUGGUUGAGGACAAAGAGGUCAAUGCACUUGACGGCUUGCAAACUCAGAUUCCUCUCUGUCCGGGGUUAUUAUUCCUCCCUGGCUUGACGGCUUGAAGAUAAUGCAGGGGUCGUCUCACCACCGCUUCAGGAUUUACCAUUUCCUCUGCUGGCCGCCAGACGAUAAUUAGAUGGAGCAGCAACAUGACCCGCAGGGGAAGUGCCUGACCCACUAAGAGAGGAAAGAAAUGAUGAGUCAAAGAAAAAUAAUCUGAAUUUCAGUCAGAAGGAAAGAUUAGACAAAUUCAAACAUUCUACAGCAUAACUGGCCUGGACUCUUUAAAAAUGAUAAAGUCAAAAAAGAUACCAGAAGGCUGAGAAACUCUUCUAGAUUAAAAGAGAACAAGAGAUAUGACAAAGAAAAGCAAUCCGUCCUCUUGGGCUGGGUCCUGGCCCAGACUGGGAAGUCCCCUGCCGCAGAGCCCGAUGCACUUUCUGGAGGCCCUCUUGAGGACCAAGGUCCUAUUCCCCAGCUGAAAGCUUUGCCUGCUCCUAGAUCAUAGUUCACUUAUGUGCCAAGAAUUGGCAUUACCCAAGAUUACACACCCUUCCUGGGGUAGCCCAUGUCCAAAGAUUGAUUAACACGGGGAUACAAAAGUCCAGCCUUCUUGCUUGAAUUUGGGACAUCUCUGGAGUUCCAUUCUAGUUUCAGAGCUUUCCGUGGCAUUGGCUGACGCAUCUGAAGUAAGUGACUCAUAGUUCAGCUUCUCCCUUUGCCAAAUCCUGUUUUCUUCACUCCCUUCCACGUGUUGCUACACAAGCACGCCCCGAUAGACCACUUCCCAACAGACUGCUUCAUGAAAAUUUCCAUCUCAGAGUGUGGAGCCCAGGAAACCCUGUCUAAGAGACCAACUCAAGGCCAAAGGACCUCCCCCUUCAAAAGAACUGCAACCCUGCCGUUUUCCAUCUGUCUCCGGUCAAAUGUUGCGAUGUUUACACUGGAGCAGUUCCUGCCCCAUCCUGUCUCCGUUGGACCACAGCCCUUUGUCCCCAGACUGGGUGACUCAGCACUUGCAGGAGAGAACUGACUGAGGCUGAAGUUGCCAGAGGAAACCAAACAAUUCUUAUUUACCAAACUGUCAAAAUCCUAUCACUGCAAUUAAGGAGAUAGGCAAUUAACUGUGUCUUAAUUACAGCAGCUGCCACUUCUUCUGAAUGCUGUAAUUUACAGAGAGAAUGGGAGGAGACUUUACGUUAAUGUGUGUCUUUAAACAACGGAAAACAUCGAUGGAGCCUGAAGACAAUCGUCAGCCUGGUGGGGGGCCCCUCCUGGGAAGAGGCAUUGUUACAGAGUGUGCUUGCGGGACCCGUGAUUUUCCCUCGCGCAUGGGCUGCAUUCAUAACAAAUGCCAGAAUGACAUUGUUACAUCCUGUAUUAUACACAAUACAAUUUACUGAUUCCAAUAGCAACAUCAUCUGUGAAAACCUCUGCGAGUGUCCUCUCAGUCUUGGUUUAAAAAAAAACACAUACAAGCUCAGUUUUAAAACAAAGAGUUUUUUGUUUGUUUGCUUUUGUUUUUU